CUAAUCAUCUUCUGAAACAAAACUCUGCUCGUUGUCUAAACUGUAUUUCAUACAAAAUACUGCACUACUUAUUCUUUCUCAGUGAAAUAAAUGAUGCAAAACAGGUGUCAUCUGCAGGAGUACACAAUAAUUAGAUAUACAAAUAUAUUGAAGUUCAACAGUUCAUGUCCUAAAUACAUUCUGCAUCUGGCAGGGCAUUUAAAAAAGAACUCCACAUGUUUUAAAUUAACUCUCUUGCAGAACCAAGAUCCACUGAAAGACUAACCUUACCAUUACUUUUUAGCCACUGUUAAGACUUGAAUAUUUACUAUGCAUCAAAAAUGUAAACCUCUUUAAAUAUCCACGCCUUUUGUUCACCUCAGCAAGCAGAAGGAUCAAAUUGUGCUUUGAAUCUGGCUUCACUCUUAAUCAAAAUGCCACUGGUAAAUGAAGCCUGAAUACAAAAUACUUAACAACUGUAGAUAUUUAACAAAAAUGUUAAUGAGCAUUGGGGAAGACGAGAUGCAGUCCAACCCAUCUGGGAGCUGUUGGAAACAGGCAGCUUUUCACUGUUCUUGGGUCACAACUUUUCUUCCUCAGCUGGGGUGUGUUAUGACUCUUCCUUUGCACAAGGGAUUUACCUGCAGCUGAAACACCACCUGUGCAUGGCAGUACUUCCUUGCUAAAGCACAACAGGUAAUCCAGGUAAUCAAUAACUACUGUAAUUUUGGUGUACUUCAGUCUGUCAGAUUUUUUUCCCUUUGAUUAUUUAUGAAAUUUUCCUCCCUCAAGGAAGAGGAAAAUAAAUACUGCUGCUAGCAAGAAAGGUCUUUUAGAAUGGAGCCAUUCAAAAAGCAAGGGAAGGGACUGACAGAUGUUUAUCUUCAGUGUUCUUCAAGAACCAAACCAGAACUAAAGUAAAUGUGUUUUUUUGUCUUGCAGCCCUGUCAGACCAUUUAGAAGCACAAAAGAGAACUAAAUGCUCGUGUGCCUGUCCAGACCUGCUGUGGGCCACACCUUGUUGCCAACAGGAUUUAGAAGAGGAUCUCUAAUGUGAUCUGAGCUAAAAAUCUGUCGUGGCAUUUGUACCAUGGAACUGUCGAUACUGUGGGUCAUGUGUUGAAGGUCUGGUCACUGGUGCCUCUGGAUCGAGGUAAUACACUUCCUUAGUUCGGACAUAGGGGAUGAACUGGGCCGAGGGAGGCCUUCCAGCCUCGGGGACAGGAGGAGGGGAGCUCUGCUCGGCAUCUGCUUUGAUGCUUUUCUCUCUUCUGCUGCUGUUGUUAUGCACCAGGAAAUUAGAAGCAUGGAUCUGU